rnacentral:rRNA from 1 species
UACGAAUGGGGCAAGCGUUGUUCGGAAUCACUGGGCUUAAAGCGUGCGCAGGCGGUCAUGAAAGUCAGAAGUGAAAUCCCAGGGCUUAACCCUGGAAUUGCUUUUGAAACUCCAUGACUAGAAUCCCGGAGAGGUUAGCAGAAUUCCGAGUGUAGAGGUGAAAUUCGCAGAUAUUCGGAGGAAUACCAAUGGCGAAGGCAGCUAACUGGACGGGCAUUGACGCUCAGGCACGAAAGCGUGGGUAGCAAACAGG